rnacentral:miRNA from 1 species
AAAUUAACAAAUAAUGAAUGUUUUUAUUCGUGCAAUGGUAAGAAUAUUUUCAUUCGGUGAAAGAUGGAAUGUUCCAUUCAACUCGGCUGUCGCCUCGUUGAAUGGAACAUUACAUCUUUCACCUCAUUAAAAUAUUCUUACCAUUGCACGAAUAAAAACAUUCAUUAUUUGUUU